UACAGAGGGUGCAAGCGUUAAUCGGAAUUACUGGGCGUAAAGCGUGCGUAGACGGUAGCGUAAGUCGGGUGUGAAAGCCCCGGGCUCAACCUGGGAAUUGCAUUCGAGACUGCUCUGCUAGGGUGCGGAAGAGGGAAGCGGAAUUUCCGGUGUAGCGGUGAAAUGCGUAGAUAUCGGAAGGAACACCAGUGGCGAAGGCGGCUCACUGGACCGGUUCUGACGCUGAGGCGCGAAAGCGUGGGGAGCAAACGGG
rnacentral:rRNA from 1 species